GAGCAAAAAUCCUAGCCGUUCAUUUACAUACAUUUUACUAAACCUAAAAAAAGCUUUCUCUUUCGGCCUCUGCUUUGGAGUCUGGAUCUUCGUCUCUCUUAAUUCGUUUUGAUUUUAGGAGAUGUAACAGCUAUUUAAUAGGAGUCGGAUCAUUCCCAAACCCUAGAAAAGGCCAAAUUACCAGCUACUUCUUUGUGUUCCUCUCUCUCAAACCUCUUUCAAUUUUUAUUAGUCUAUUUUCAAAACUCUCGAUGCAUUGAACGCCUACAGAUAUAAAAAUCUAAAGAACAGUUUUGAAGAAGUUGGCUAGAAUGGAUUUAUCGGCGACAACAAGGAUCAGAGAGGUGAUGAUUGUAAAGAAAGAGAGGCGAAGAUGGUAUGAGUAGAAAAGAGAUCUGAGAUGAUUCGGUGAUCAAUUUGAAGAAGAAGAAGCACCAGAUCGACUCUGAACAUGAGUCCAACCCUUAGCCUAAUUACGCUUUUGUAAAUCUCUCUCUCUCUCUUCUAGGUGAAGCAACGGGUUCUGGAGAGUGAACUAGACCUAUCGUAUUCACCGGGGCAGAAUAUUUUGAUGUGAGUGACGUGUUGGGAACAAAAAGCCAUCUUCUCACAACUCUCUGUUUUAUAUGUUAUACUAAAAGCAGAGCUUCUUAUGUUUUUGUGGGCGACUAUAUCUACGUAUGGUUUCCAAUUUUUCAGAAUAGGUUUAAUAUAAUAACAAAAACAAUUUGCAAGAGUUCAGAGGCUCCAAUGAUAGUGACACGUUUGAAGCAAAGAACAAGAUGAAUGAGCAAGGUUAAGAUUUUCAUCCUCCAUUAACACCAUUUUGUCUCAGGCCAUCUUAAUUUACUCUCAAGCCCUUGAAAAAUUUGUUCCGCAUAUUCAACAGGUUAGUGUGGAGAGACUUUGUUCAAAAAAAAAAAAGGGUUAGUAUGGAGAGUAGUGGAAAGGGAG